rnacentral:rRNA from 1 species
CAGUCGCCGCGGUAAUACGAAGGGUGCAAGCGUUACUCGGAAUUACUGGGCGUAAAGCGUGCGUAGGUGGUGGUUUAAGUCCGUUGUGAAAGCCCUGGGCUCAACCUGGGAAUUGCAGUGGAUACUGGGUCACUAGAGUGUGGUAGAGGAUAGUGGAAUUUCCGGUGUAGCAGUGAAAUGCGUAGAGAUCGGAAGGAACAUCUGUGGCGAAGGCGACUAUCUGGGCCAACACUGAUACUGAGGCACGAAAGCGUGGGGAGCAAACAGGAUUAGAUACCCCCGUAGUCCCUGUCUCUUAUAC